GCCCCUGUGUUUCCCCGGGACGCGAGGCUGCUGCUGCUCCUGCCUCCCCUGCCGCCGCUGUCGCCGCCGCCGCCGCCGCCGAGCUCCGCGCCUGCAGCCUCCGCCUCCCGGAUGGACGCUCUGCCCCGAGGCGGGCUGAAUCUGAAGGAGGAGCCGCUGUUGCCUGCGGGCCUGGGCUCGGUGCGCUCCUGGAUGCAGGGCGCGGGCAUCCUGGACGCCAGCACCGCGGCGCAGAGUGGCGUAGGCCUGGCACGAGCACAUUUUGAGAAGCAGCCUCCCUCCAACCUCAGGAAAUCCAACUUCUUCCACUUCGUGCUGGCCAUGUACGACCGGCAGGGGCAGCCGGUGGAGGUGGAACGCACAGCCUUCAUUGACUUUGUGGAAAAAGACCGAGAGCCCGGGGCUGAAAAGACAAACAACGGGAUCCAUUAUCGCCUCCGACUGGUGUAUAACAACGGACUUCGGACAGAACAGGACCUCUAUGUGCGCCUCAUCGAUUCCAUGUCCAAGCAGGCCAUCAUCUACGAGGGGCAGGACAAGAACCCCGAAAUGUGCCGAGUGCUGCUCACCCACGAGAUCAUGUGCAGCCGGUGCUGUGACCGGAAGAGCUGUGGCAACCGGAAUGAGACGCCCUCGGACCCCGUCAUCAUUGAUAGGUUCUUCCUCAAGUUCUUCCUCAAAUGCAACCAGAACUGCCUGAAGAAUGCCGGGAAUCCCCGAGACAUGCGCCGCUUCCAGGUGGUGGUGUCCACGACGGUGAGCGUAGAUGGACACGUGCUGGCCGUGUCUGACAACAUGUUUGUGCAUAACAACUCCAAGCAUGGCCGCAGGGCGCGCCGCCUGGACCCCUCCGAAGCUGCCACCCCCUGCAUCAAAGCCAUCAGCCCCGGGGAGGGCUGGACCACGGGCGGCGCCACCGUCAUCGUCAUCGGCGACAACUUCUUCGACGGGUUGCAGGUCGUGUUUGGGAACGUGCUCGUGUGGAGUGAGCUCAUCACGCCCCACGCCAUACGGGUGCAGACACCCCCGAGGCACAUCCCCGGGGUGGUGGAGGUGACCCUGUCCUACAAGUCCAAGCAAUUUUGCAAGGGAGCCCCCGGCCGCUUUGUCUACACAGCCCUGAAUGAGCCCACCAUUGACUACGGAUUCCAGAGGCUACAGAAAGUCAUUCCCAGACACCCCGGAGACCCGGAGAGGCUGCCCAAGGAAGUGCUGCUGAAGCGGGCGGCCGACCUGGCGGAGGCCCUGUACGGAGUGCCCAGCAGCAACCAGGAGCUCCUCCUGAAGCGCGCGGCGGACGUGGCCGAGGCUCUGUACAGCGCGCCCCGCGCGCCCGCGCCUCUGGGACCCUUGGCCCCCAGCCACCCGCAUCCUGCCGUCGUUGGCAUCAACGCCUUCAGCAGCCCGCUGGCCAUCGCCGUCGGGGACGCCACGCCGGGGCCGGAGCCGGGCUAUGCGCGCAGCUGCGGCAGCGCAUCCCCCCGCGGGUUCGCGCCCAGCCCGGGCUCGCAGCAGAGCAGCUAUGGCGGUGGCCUCGGAGCUGGCCUCGGCGGCUACGGGACGCCAGGCGUGGCCGGCCUCGGCGUGCCGGGAUCCCCCAGCUUCCUCAAUGGUUCCACGGCCACCUCACCCUUCGCCAUCAUGCCCUCUAGCCCCCCGCUGGCCGCUGCCUCCUCAGUGUCCCUCCCAGCGGCUGCCCCCACCACCAGCGUCUUCUCCUUCUCGCCUGUCAACAUGAUCUCCGCUGUCAAACAGAGGAGCGCUUUCGCCCCCGUGCUGCGCCCACCCAGCUCCCCACCCCAAGCCUGCCCCAGAGCCCACGGAGAGGGGCUUCCAGGCCCUCUGAAGGAGACAGGGCUAGGAAGAAGAGCCCAGAGUCAUCCCUCUCAAUUGAGGAAGUUAGGAGAUCCAGGGUUUGGGGCUGCACCUCCUUUGAGACCAGCCUUUUGAAGAUUCUGACAAGUUCCACUCUCCAGCUCGGGGGCUUCAGGGCCUGGCAUACUCCUAAUUAUGGUCUGCAGGUGUGACCCCACUCAGCCCGGACCAGUGGUCCCUCCAGGAUUCACAACCAUGCCCUGGAUCAAAGCACAGACAGAUGCAGGACCAGGGCUGUGGGCAGACCUCAAGCCACAGGCCUGAAUGGGAGAGGCCUUCCUCCCUGGUUCAAGGGGCCCCCAGUCCCACCAGCUUCUCUCACCUCCCUUUCCUGGGGCGGGUCGGAAGCUCCAGCACUGUGCUAACGCUCUUGUUAGGAGAGCAUCCCAGGGAGGUGCUGGGACACCGGGCCUCACUUGUUGGCUCAGUCCCUCUGGAAGAGAUGGACCUUGGAUGAACCAUGCACAUCCAGCGACAGGAGCGUGGGUUGGGGACUGUGGAAAGAGCUCAGGGAGAGGUGGCCUGGGGAGGUCCUGUUUGCGUCUGAUCCAUCUCAAACAUCCCAGCAUCCCAACUACUCUCCAGGGCAUGAGGUGGUCCCCAGCAGCCUCAGGAGGCCGGCCUAGGCUCCCAUGGAGCUUCUGACGGCCACUUGAUCCCAUGGCUGUCCCACUCCCUUUGAGUCCUGUGCACUCAUGCUCACCACAUCAUGAAUCCCAGUGGGGGCUUUGGGCAUGAAGGGUGCAGGGAGGAGGUGCGAGGCCUCCUGGGUUGUGGGUCUUGCCCUUGAUGGAUGCCUCGUGGACUCUGGCCCCACACACAGAUGACUGGCUGGCCCCAUGGAACCAUGGAAUGGGUCCAGCUGCCCCUGGCCUCUACGCUGCUCUGCUGAGGUUGGAGAAAACAAUAAACACAGAUGCAGGUGGCCA